UGCAUUAGUAGCUCAGCUUAGAGCACCG
rnacentral:tRNA from 1 species